GUGAACCUGCGGAGGAUCAUUACCGAGUGAGGGCCCUCGCGGGCCAAACCUCCCACCCUUGUCUCUAAUACACCUGUUGCUUUGGCGGGCCCGCCUUAACUGGCCGCCGGGGGGCUUACGCCCCCGGGCCCGCGCCCGCCGAAGACACCCUCGAACUCUGUCUGAAGAUUGUAGUCUGAGUGAAAAUAUAAAUUAUUUAAAACUUUCAACAAUGAUCUCUUGGUUCCGCAUCGAUGAGAACGCAGCGAAUGCGAUAAGUAUGUGAAUGCAGAUCCGUGGAUCAUCGAUCUUCAACGCACAUUGCGCCCCUUGUAUUCCGGGGGGCAUGCCUGUCCGAGCGUCAUUUCUGCCCUAAGCACGGCUUGUUUUGGUUGUGUCCCCCGGGACCUGGGGGGACGGGCCCGAAAGGCAGCGGCGGCACCGCGUCCGGUCCUCGAGCGUAUGGGGCUUUGUCUUCCGCUCUGUAGGCCCGGCCGGCGCCCGCCGAUGAACCCCAAUUUUUAUCCAGGUUGACCUCGGAUCAGGAGGAGUUACCGCUGAACUUAAGCAUAUCAAUAAGCGGAGGAAAAGAAACCAACCGGGAUUGCCUCAGUAAC
rnacentral:rRNA from 1 species